rnacentral:rRNA from 1 species
CGUGACUAACCUGACGUUAGGAUGGGAACAACCCCGGGAAACUGGGGAUAAUUCCCGAUAGGUGAAGAACUCUGGAAUGAGUCUUUGCCCAAAAGGUGUCGGAUCAUGCUUUCGGCAUCGCCUAAGGAUGGGGCCGCGACCGAUCAGGUUGUUGGUGAGGUAAUGGCCCACCAAGCCUAUAACCGGUGCGGGCCGUGAGAGCGGGAGCCCGGAGAUGGGCACUGAGACAAGGGCCCAGGUCCUACGGGGCGCAGCGGUCGCGAAACCUUUGCAAUACACGAAAGUGUGACAGGGUCAUCCCGAGUGCCGACCGCUGAGGUUGGCUUUUACCCAGUCUAGAAAGCUGGGGGAAUAAGGAGAGGGCAAGUUUGGUGUCAGCCGCCGCGGUAAUACCAGCUCUCCGAGUGGUGUGGACGUUUAUUGGGCCUAAAGCAUCCGUAGCUGGCUGAACAAGUCCCCUGUUAAACCCACCGAUUUAAUCGUUGGUCUGCGGGGGAUACUGCUCGGCUAGGGGACGAGAGAGGCAGACGGUAUUCCCGGGGUAGGGGUGAAAUCCUAUAAUCCCGAGAAGACCACCAGUGGCGAAGGCUGUAUGCUAGAACGCGCCCGACGGUGAGGGAUGAAAGCUGGGGGAGCGAACCGGAUUAGAUACCCGGGUAGUCCCAGCUGU